UAUAUCAUCUCAGCCCACCACUUUUUCACCGUGAUUUGAAGUCUUCAAAUCUUCUUGUUGACAAGAACUGGACUGUGAAGGUGGGGGGCUUUGGAUUCU